UUGACAAACGCGUCAAUUCACGUCAAUGAUGAUCUGAAUUUAAAUUUAAAUUUGCGAUAAGAACCAAAUCGAUUGUGCUUUUCUUAUUUAAUUUAGCUUAUAAUACCAUGUCCAGUCUACAUGAGAUCGCAAAGAUUUGUAUAUACGCUGUUAUUAUUUUAACAUGCGUGAAAUUAAUACGAGGAGAUCCUUUUGGAAUUUUAUUCGAUAAUAAUUCCCCAUACAAAUGGAGUGGAGAUGAUAUAACAGACUUCUUUUGUAGACUGAACAUGUAAUAUUCAAUUUUAAAAAUAAAAAAAUAUCUGAAUCAAC